rnacentral:pre_miRNA from 16 species
UCUACUACGAUUCCUUGUCAUUCUUCUGUCCGGCGAGCUUUCAUUAAAUGUUGGACGGAGAACUGAUAAGGGCUCGUGGAUGA